GUGAGGAAUAUUGCGCAAUGGAGGCAACUCUGACGCAGCCAUGCCGCGUGCAGGAAGAAGGCGCUACGCGUUGUAAACUGCUUUUAACCGGGAAGAAACCCCAGGACGUGUCCUGGGUUGACGGUACCGGAGGAAUAAGCACCGGCUAACUUCGUGCCAGCAGCCGCGGUAAUACGAAGGGUGCAAGCGUUAUCCGGAUUCAGUCGGUUUAAAGGGUGCGUAGGCGGAGCGUUAAGUCAGUGGUGAAAUCCUGCAGCUUAACUGUAGACUUGCCAUUGAUACUGGCGCUCUUGAGUGCGCUUGAAGUGGGCGGAAUGUGCCGUGUAGCGGUGAAAUGCUUAGAUAUGGCACAGAACACCAAUUGCGAAGGCAGCUCACUAAGGCGAUACUGACGCUGAGGCACGAAAGCGUGGGGAUCGAACAGGAUUAGAAACCCGGGUAGUCC
rnacentral:rRNA from 1 species